rnacentral:lncRNA from 1 species
AACAGGAAUCCAGCACCAAUCUGGAUGACACAGAGUGAGUUAGUCUGCGGCUGUGAAGCCAGCUCCAGCUAUUGCUGAGACGUUAAGGAGGUGGUUCUUCACCAUGAUAUGCAUCAGUUUCUCUUUCUACAACAAGGUUCAAUCUGACUCCUUGCCACUGCCAUUUUGAGUGUAAAAGCACUUCUUGUGAGAACAUAAAUUGGAUCCCCACAGCUACAGGAAAGACACGAGAACCCACUGUGACUGUACAGCCCUGCUCUGCCAUUUUCAUCUCCUACCAAUGUGUCUCCUGAAAAGUACUGCUGCUGCGGGGAGGACAACUGUGGUUCAGACAGAAACAGGAGGAAGACAAAAGGGUGAGGUUUGACAUGAAGAAAUAUUCUCCGGAAGGGGGGAUCCCAGGGAUGUCUGCAUGCAAAAAGAUACAAGCCACUGUCUGCAUGAGAACAAGGAAGAUAAUGAGUGGAGUAAGACAAGGAUCAAAGGCAAAGAUAGACCAGACUGCUUGUUUGCCACCCCAGCACCUAGAUGAGCACUGAGGGAGGU